GGGGCUGUAGUGAAGCGGGAUCACACGACAAUGGCAUUGUCGGAUCACGGGUUCAAUUCCCGUCAGCUCCACCA
rnacentral:tRNA from 1 species